ensembl:lncRNA
CUGGGAUUGCCUGGCUCACUGUCCGCUGCGUUCCUGAAAUACUCCAGCCUGAUUUAUUUUUCCAGCUGCCAUAAAAAGGAAUGUGUGGCCAGUGAGGUUGGUGAGGGAACUCCAGUCUGCACUGGAAGAGAGGUCUCCACUGGAAUGCCACCAGGCUGCGUCCUCGAGGCAGACCUGAUACCAAGCUGGAGUGGGCCCCGCUGGGAGCAGCAGAGUGACCCAACGGCCCUCUACAUGGCUGAAUUCAAGUCCCACGUGUGGGCUGGAAAGCGCACUGCGCACAUGUAGGAGCUGCCUUCGCUAGGCAGCACCCAUGAAAAGCUCUGAGGCUCUCGGUGGCCCCCACAAGCACCACCGGCCUUGAGUCUCCAGGCCCAGGUUAAGACACUAAGAAGGUCCUCCUGCCGGUGGAGUCCAGUUUGAACAGACCAGAUGACCCCUGGAAGAGGGGAGCUGCUCGGCACAACAGGAGAAACCCAGCCACACGGGCUUGCAUCCGCGUCCCCCGCCUCCUCACCAGCACUGGGUGUGGCUGCAUUUCCCGCCCCGGCUCCCGGGGUCGCCCCCUCCUCCGCGGUGUGCGUGUCCUCUCCGUGUGUGCUCGCCGCUGAGCUUCAUCGUCCCGGUGCAGGCCCCGAGGGGGACAUUGUCCCCUCCACCUCGUCUCGGGUCCUUCUCAGGGCAGUGCUCUCAACUGUCAGGACUUCCAGCUGGUUCAGCUCUCCUUUCAGGGCUUGUGCGGGACAGGCUGUCUGGCCCACGAGCCCCAGGAUGUCUUCUUCUUUCUCCUGCAAGUUUUAUGGUUUUAUGUUUGUGUGUGAAUCGGUGAGCCAUUCUGAGUUCAUUUUUGUAGAAAAUAUGAUACUUCGAACAAAGGUUCCGAUUUUUUGGCCUGUAGAAGCCAGAGCCUGAAUUUCCCCAACCUCCCCUCCAAUGAUACAUACUUUAUCCACUUCUAUUCAUUAUUCAAAUAUUUGCUGCUGCCCACUGGGUGCCCAGUGCCAUGGGGUCCUGGGGCCCACAGGUGAGUGUGUGAGACCCCAGCUGCCCUCCAGAGCCCACUGUCGGGCCUCAACUGGCCACAGCCUGACCCUCCCAGAUGUGGCCUCGGGACAGAGUGGGGUAUCCACGUCAGGCCCCAGAGCGGCCAAGGGGAGCGAGCCACCCGGGGGCUGUCCCUCUGGACCUCAUCCUGCUGGCCCCUUCUGCCCCGCGCCCCUGGCACCACCCUGGGGAACGCGACGGGGCAGGAACAAUCGCCCGGCUUGUAGUCUCAGGCGGACACAAGCCCGCUUUCACAAGCCCACAGCCCCGGGUUUGUGCCGCCUGGCGCCAGAGGGAGCAGGCCCAGUGCCCAGCUGGGGAAGAUACUGCUCCGGCCACCCCCACAGUGGGCGGUGGGCAGAGGCAUCCUGCAACCGCCCGCCUGGGUGCCUGCGCCCAGGCGGGCAGGCCACACCCCUCUGCGCCCCAGUCCAGGGAGACCCUGGGCCUUAGGAGCACACCCCAAGGCUGGGGAGGAACCUGCCCUCGCGGUGGCAGAGCUCCAGUCCAGCCCCAGCGGGCCUCGUAUGACAGUCCUGCAGGUGCUGUAACAAAAUGCCCCAAACUCAGCAGCUCAACCGCUACUUAACC